UACGUAGGGUGCGAGCGUUAAUCGGAAUUACUGGGCGUAAAGCGUGCGCAGGCGGUUUUGUAAGCCAGAUGUGAAAUCCCCGGGCUUAACCUGGGAAUGGCAUUUGGGACUGCAAGGCUGGAGUGCGGCAGAGGAGACUGGAAUUCCUGGUGUAGCAGUGAAAUGCGCAGAUAUCAGGAGGAACACCGAUGGCGAAGGCAGCUCGCUGGGACGGUACUGACGCUGAGGCGCGAAAGCGUGGGGAGCAAACAGG
rnacentral:rRNA from 1 species